rnacentral:rRNA from 1 species
UACGUAGGUGGCAAGCGUUGUCCGGAAUUAUUGGGCGUAAAGCGCGCGCAGGCGGUUCCUUAAGUCUGAUGUGAAAGCCCCCGGCUCAACCGGGGAGGGUCAUUGGAAACUGGGGAACUUGAGUGCAGAAGGGAAGAGUGGAAUUCCACGUGUAGCGGUGAAAUGCGUAGAGAUGUGGAGGAACACCAGUGGCGAAGGCGACUCUUUGGUCUGUAACUGACGCUGAGGCGCGAAAGCGUGGGGAGCAAACAGG